rnacentral:rRNA from 1 species
ACGAACGCUGGCGGCCUGCCUAACCCAUGCCAGUCGAACGCGACCUUCGGGUCUAGUGGCGCACGGGUGCGUAACGCGUGGGAACCUGCCCUUAGGUUCGGAAUAACUCCCCGAAAGGGGUGCUAAUACCGGAUAAUGUCUUCGGACCAAAGAUUUAUCGCCUUUGGAUGGGCCCGCGUUGGAUUAGCUAGUUGGUAGGGUAAAAGCCUACCAAGGCGACGAUCCAUAGCUGGUCUGAGAGGAUGAUCAGCCACACUGGGACUGAGACACGGCCCAGACUCCUACGGGAGGCAGCAGUGGGGAAUAUUGGACAAUGGGCGAAAGCCUGAUCCAGCAAUGCCGCGUGAGUGAUGAAGGCCUUAGGGUUGUAAAGCUCUUUUACCCGGGAUGAUAAUGACAGUACCGGGAGAAUAAGCUCCGGCUAACUCCGUG